GCUAACGCCGAGCCAGUCGCCGCGGUAGUUCGUUGUGUGGAAGGUCUAGCCUCGUUUUUUGGGCUUAAUGGGUCUGUAAGUGGCUAGUCAAGUGUUCAGUCAAAGACGGAGGCCUAACUCUAGGAAGGUCGUGUGAACUGGCGGAGUAGAGAUCAGUAGGGUGAGAGAGAAUUUCCGGUGUAGCGGUUAAAUGCGGAGAGCUCGUGAAGAACAUCGAUGGCGAAAGCGCUCUACUGGACUGCAACUGACACUCAGGGACGAAAGCUAUGGGAGCGAAUGAGAUUAGAUACCCUGGUAGUC
rnacentral:rRNA from 1 species